rnacentral:rRNA from 1 species
GCCCUAGGGUAAAACUGGUGACUGGGGCUAAGUCGUAACAAGGUAGCCGUACCGGAAGGUGCGGCUGGAACACCUCCUUUCUGGAG